AUAAGACAUAAGGAUAAUUUACACUAAUUUUACCUAAGUCAUUGGUUAGGUUAGGCAAGGUUGUUACCUGGCAGAGCCAGGUAACAAAGGGGGGAUGGGUAAGUUGUGGUCUAGGAUAGGAUGUGGCCUAUUGGAUGAUAAACUAAUAAAUAAAAAAAUCUAGCUAAACAAGCAGAUAUAGAAAUAGAAAGAAGUAUUGUUAAUUACAUGAAAAGGUUGUUUGUUUAACCAAACCUGUAUGUCCAAGAUUUUAUGCACUACAGGUGAAUUACAGGUGAAGUCACUCAAUCCAGUCACUGAGGCCUGUUGGGGGGACUAUACCAAGACUCCUGGUAACAGCUAGCUGAAAGAGUUACCCGGAUUCAUAUCACACUGCGGGAGGGUAAGACACAUUGACACUGUCGAACAAGCACAGUGUCCGAGAGGAGAACUGGAAUUAACAGAAUUCUGGGGGUCAUCUCUCGGAUGAAGAUUUCCUUUUCCCGUCAUUCCAUCCCUGUGUUUGUUCAUAGAAGUGAAAGUGUGUCUGGCUUCUUGCUGAUGAUGUUUUCUCUGGGAGAGGGUGGGGCUUUAUAGGUGGGCGGUCCAUCCUGAGCUGUCUGGUUGUGGGAGCCAUAUUCCUGAUACACCAUGAACCCCAAGAAGGCCAGAGGGUGCCGAUUACAUCCAGAUUUUCUCUUUCACAGUGACAGGAUUUUAUGGAUCGCUACAUAACACACGGAUGGGAAGUAGGGGGAGUCAGUACAUGCAAUAGGACUGAGUAUGUUACAACCGAGAAGACAAUGAGGGACCUGACUGGCAGAUGAAAAGGUUUAGAGUGUGGAGGUAUGAAGCUGUGACCUAACCUGCCUACCAAUUGGAAUGGUAGUUAUGCACUAGUGCAGUUAGGCAUGCUCUUUACCCUUACUCAGAUCCAAUUCAAAGCGAGGAAUUAGAUCUUAGCAGGAUUAGAGUCAAGUAUUUUCUAGUGGUCCACUCUCAAUAAGAAUGUGGACUAGAUCAAUUAUACCAGAGAUGUAAUGAAUGGCUUGGCAGAAUAGAAUAGAAUCGAGAUAGAUAUGUUAUUGGCAGAAAAGGGUGGGGUUUGUGUGUUAUUCGGGUCGAUGUGCUGUACGUUUAUCCCAAGUAACACAGCUCCAGAUGGAUCUGUGACUAAGGCCUUGGAGGUUUAACCACCCUAGCUCACGAGUUGGCAGUGACCUCAGGGGUGGAUACUUUUCUGACUAAUUGGUUUGACAGUAUGUUUGGGAAAUGGAAAAAUUUCAUGAUUACUGUGUUAUGGGCUACCUUCACCUGUGUGACUGUUAGUUUUGUGUGGAUGUGGUUUGAUUCCGUGUGUGAAAGUUCUCAUUUCCAGGAUUCUGGAGAAAUCGAUGACACAACAGAUGAUGAAGUACGGACCAAUUCUAAGCUCUGACAAGUGGAAGGAUGAAUGUAUGGGGCCGGAUCUAGUGGAGAACGAUUCCGGAUCUUUUAAUUAUGAGGAACCGAGAUUGGACGAGACUGUAUUUGACGUUUAGAGAAUUUAGACGGUUACAUGUUUCAAUGGAUAGACUGUUUCUUUAAUGAAGACUGUAACGAAAAUCCUAAAUAUGGAAUUAUGUUUCUGAUGUAGGUUAGAACAGUCAUUGAUGUUGAUGGAGUGUAAAUACAUGUAUUGAUGUGGUUUUAUUCUUGUAUAAACAUUUAUGUUUCUAUAUGA